UGACCCUUCUUAAGCCGAGGGUCACCUAGCCAACUGACGUUGUUAGUGAACUCGAUUUUUGUUCACAAGUAUAUAAGCCAAUCGCAGCUUUUGCGGUUGGCUCUUUUUUU
rnacentral:sRNA from 1 species